GGUUCCUGGAAAGUGAAAAUUUCAUUUCUUUGUGGACAGCUCAGAGACCUAAUAGGAUGGGGUCUUAGAGAAACAUCUUUUGAGCCACAGACUUCUUUGUUACCAGAAGGAAAAUGAAAGAAGAAAUUUAAAUACCACUUGAAGAGAGUUUCCUCAUCAGCAAAGUCAGAAAAAGUAUGUACCUGAAGGACUGAUUGUAAGGCUGGGAUGAGAGAAUCCAUGUGAUCAGCCCUCACCAACAGGUGCUGCCCAGUUCAUGAGUGCUGCUGCUGUCCUGCCCAAGUACCCAGCUUGCAGAGUGCCAGAGUUAGAGUCCCAGGGGUGUUCUCCACAGCUGCAUGCUUGAUCCAGGCCUAUCAGAUAUAUUCCAUUGAAAGUCCUCAUUCUCAAAUUUAAAACAAAGACUUUUUGUGUACCUCAAUAGCAAUGCACACACAGUUGGCUUCACAAACAUAUUGUACAUUUCUUUUUUUCAUAUUUAUUCAACAAAUGUAUAUUGACUACCCACCGUGUGACAGGUGUUAUUUGUUGACGGAACCAGGCAUCAUCAGCAAACAAAACUGACAAAGCUUCCUGCCCUCUGUGGAAGGCAUCUGAGGAAGAGACUGGAUUUUGUAGCAACAUGUUAUUCUCAUUAUAAACUUUAUCAUUGGAAUACUAAAGCCAAAUCAUCCCCCAUCUCCUUGAUCAGGAUACCCACUUAAUCUAGGCAGCUACACAAUUGUGAGAGCCUUUGUUUUUUUCUGCUGAAACAUCCUUAAAAAGAUACCUCACAACCCAAGAUUUGGCUUUUCUUAAAUACGAUUUUUAAUUUUUUUCAUUUCUAUCUAGAGAUUUAAUUGGAAAUGGAAAAUCAUCAAUUUUCCAAUUAAAUGUCUGUUCCAAUCAACAUUAUACCUUUUAGGUUGUCAUUGUCAUUUUUAAGUUUAAGCAACUUUAAGGAUUUUGAAUCUGGCUGCCUGUAAAUUAAAGGUGAAAGUAAUCAUUGUGUUGGAUUGGAACAUUUUGUCAAUUGAGAGUGGUUUCCUUGUUCUUAGUGUAUGAAAAGUUUAUUUUUCUAAUGUAGAUUAAUAAAGGAGAUAAAGAAAAACAAAA
rnacentral:lncRNA from 1 species